AACGAACGCUGGCGGCGCGCCUAACACAUGCAAGUCGAACGAGAAGCUGUAGCAAUACAGUUGUACAGUGGCGAACGGGUGAGGAAUACAUGGGUGACCUACCCUCGAGUGGGGAAUAACCAGCCGAAAGGUUGGCUAAUACCGCGUACGUUUCCCAGUUUACGGAUUGGGAAGGAAAGCGAUGCCGUGGGUAUCGCGCUCAAGGUUGGGCUCAUGUCCUAUCAGCUUGUUGGGAGGUAACGGCUCACCAAGGCAACGACGGGUAGCUGGUCUGAGAGGACGAUCAGCCACACUGGCACUGCGACACGGGCCAGGCUCCUACGGGAGGCAGCAGUGAGGAAUAUUGCGCAAUGGGCGAAAGCCUGACGCAGCGACGCCGCGUGGGGGAU
rnacentral:rRNA from 1 species